UUUUGUUGAUUUCAAAGUAGAGCAUGGUUGUUGUGUUAGGUAGGGACAAAACAGAAUAAAACAGAGAGAAACCGGGAGGUAUUACUGAACUGGUCCAAUAACAAAUGCUCGUUUUCAUUUUGUGUUGCAAAGAAUUUUGAUCAAUGUGCCCUAAUGAACAUGCCCUGGUUACCUCUUUUCAAGCCUCCUCUACCUGUGUCUCGUAGGUUAUGACACAUCCAGCCCCACCACGUAUGAUGAUGAGCGAUGGGGAGGCAGGAAGCUACUGCAGGAGGUGGACACAUUGGACAGUAAUAGCAGCUUGGAAGAGGACGAGGAAAAGAAAAACUGCACCGAGCCAGCUUUGCACGAGUUCCCUACAGAUCUGUUUACCCACAGGGAGAGGACAGAAGGAGCUGUGGCCCUACACGUCCUGUGUGUGAGUUCAGUCUUCUUCACUUUGAUCUGUCUGUCUGUCUGUCUGUCUGUCUGUCUGUCUGUCUGUCUGUCUGUCUGUCUGUCUGUCUGUCUGUCUGUCUGUCUGUCUGUCUGUCUGUCUGUCUGUCUGUCUGUCUGUGUGUGUGUGUGUGUGUGUACAGGGGGUGGCAGGUGGCCUGGCAGUUAAGAGCGUUGGGCCAGUAACCGAAAGGUUGCUGGUUCGAAUCCCCAAACCGUCAAGGUUUAAAAAUCUGCCUUUCUGCUUCUGCCAACAGCAACUGGACGCUGAUUAAGGCAGCUCCCCGCACCUCUCUGAUUCAGAGGCGUUGGGUUAAAUGCAGAAGACACAUUUUGAUUGAAUGCAUUCAGUUGUGCAACUGACUAGGUAUCCCCUUUUCCACUCGGUAUCCCCUUUCCCACUAGGUAUCCCCUUUCCCACUAGGUAUCCCCUUUCCCACUAGGUAUCCCCUUUCCCACUCGGUAUCCCCUUUCCCACUCGGUAUCCCCUUUCCCACUCGGUAUCCCCUUUCCCACUAGGUAUCCCCUUUCCCACUAGGUAUCCCCUUUUCCACUCGGUAUCCCCUUUUCCACUCGGUAUCCCCUUUCAACUAGGUAUCCCCUUUCCCACUAGGUAUCCCCUUUCCCACUAGGUAUCCCCUUUCCCACUAGGUAUCCCCUUUCCCACUCGGUAUCCCCUUUCCCACUCGGUAUCCCCUUUCCCAUGUCUCUGUGUGUGUCUUUAAUCAACCUUUCACAUUCAUAACACCUCAAUAAACUAUUUUAAGUUCCCGUAAAAAAAAAAAUCACACACUCAACACAGUGGAAAACUAACAACUUCACGUCAGUCCCCCUGUAUUUCUCGGCUGGCUGGGUGUUUGUGCAUAGUGCGAACCAUGGGAUAAUUGUUAGCGGGC
rnacentral:lncRNA from 8 species